GGCCCGCUAGCUCAAUUGGCAGAGCAACUGACUCUUAAUCAGUAGGUUCAUGGUUCAACUCGGAGACGGGUCACCA
rnacentral:tRNA from 1 species